UCCUACGGGAGGCAGCAGUAGGGAAUCUUCCGCAAUGGACGAAAGUCUGACGGAGCAACGCCGCGUGAGUGAUGAAGGCUUUCGGGUCGUAAAACUCUGUUGUUAGGGAAGAACAAGUGCUAGUUGAAUAAGCUGGCACCUUGACGGUACCUAACCAGAAAGCCACGGCUAACUACGUGCCAGCAGCCGCGGUAAUACGUAGGUGGCAAGCGUUAUCCGGAAUUAUUAGGCGUAAAGCGCGCGCAGGUGGUUUCUUAAGUCUGAUGUGAAAGCCCACGGCUCAACCGUGGAGGGUCAUUGGAAACUGGGAGACUUGAGUACAGAAGAGGAAAGUGGAAUUCCAUGUGUAGCGGUGAAAUGCGUAGAGAUAUGGAGGAACACCAGUGGCGAAGGCGACUUUCUGGUCUGUAACUGACACUGAGGCGCGAAAGCGUGGGGAGCAAACAGGAUUAGAUACCCUGGUAGUCCACGCCGUAAACGAUGAGUGCUAAGUGUUAGAGGGUUUCCGCCCUUUGGUGCUGAAGUUAACGCAUUAAGCACUCCGCCUGGGGAGUACGGCCGCAAGGCUGAAACUCAAAGGAA
rnacentral:rRNA from 1 species